rnacentral:rRNA from 1 species
UAUAUAGAGUCUGGCCUGCCCACUUGACAUUCGUUGAAGGCCGCGGUAUUUUGCCGUGCGAAGGUAGCAUAAUCAUUAGUCUUUUAAUUGAAGGCUUGUAUGAAUGGUCGGACAAAAAAUAAGCUGUCUCUAUCCUAUUUCUUGAAUUUAACUUUUAAGUGAAAAGGCUUAAAUAUUCUAGGGGGACGAUAAGACCCUAUAAAGCUUUACAGUGUAUUGAUUAAAUUAUAAACUGUUAGUAUAAACUUAAUUUAGUUAAUAACUGUUUCGUUGGGGCGACGAGAACAUAAUAAACAGUAACUGUUCUUUUUUUAUAAUAACAAUAAAUAUUUGGUAUUAAUUGAUCCUUUAUUAAAGAUUAAAAGAUUAAGUUACUUUAGGGAUAACAGCGUAAUCUUCUUUGAGAGUCCAUAUCGACAAGAAGGAUUGCGACCUCGAUGU